GAAUGUUGGGAACCGAUCUGAUUCCAAGGAUUGAGAAGUUUUGCAGUGGUCAACUGGUAUAGACAUCCCAUUACCACUACUUCCUUCAUUGGACUGCAAGGUAUUUCUGUUUGGAAAAGUAAUGGAGUCCAGUCAACUUCAUUGAUCGCCAAGGACUGUCAAAAUUAUAAAACUUGCUGUGGAGCUCUGACAUGCCAGAAGCCGCUAGAAAAAGAAGUUUGACAUUCAGAAACUUAUCAAGAGGUUCUACUCUUUGGAUAGAGACCAAAAUCAUACUUUGAAUGAUAUGCAAUGCAAGACUCCCAAGAUUCUGGGCAGUGGCAGGGAGGUGCAGCUUCUAGUCUGCCGCAUGAUCACAAUGAAAGCCUGACAGGUUUCUUCGGAAAAGUGGCCAUCCAUGGAAUGAAUGAAAUGUUCUCUUUCUAUUCCACCUCUAGAGACCAUCAAAAAACAAUGGCUCAUAAUGCUUUUAGAACAGAAACUGAAGUUGUAUACUGUGCAUAUGUAAUCCUACACAAGAGGAAGGCAAUGUUUAAAGCUGCUGUCACCUCUUAGGGAAAAAACUGGAAUUCUGAGUCAAGGGAUUGCAGUGGCAAAGCUAGGCUAGGUCUUGGAGGCUGGUGUAAGGCGAUGUGGGUGAAGGCAGGAGGCUGAUGGAAAGACUGGGGGGAAGAAAAGCCGAAAUGGAUUCACGGUGCCUUGGAUGAAGGACGAGAGGGGAACUGCAAGCUCCUUCAACUGGUUCUGUCCGGUGAGAAGUGAUCAAGCUUGGGCUGACAAGAGGCUCAGGGAGCCCUCACGUUCUUUCGCUUUUUUACCUGCCAAUCAAACUGCUACAAGACAACACCCUGAUCUGGCAUGGACAUCGCGGGUCCAAGCCUGUAGCCCCAAAUCGGAUAAUCUCUGCAGCUGAUAACAAGCAAAAGAGAAGCCAGGCAACAGCCAUAUUAAAGAAGAAAACAAUCAACUCUGAGGAUGGCUGCCAGGGAAUAGAUGAAAGGCAGAAGUGGCGAUGGGUGACUGAUGUGGCACACUUAUGAAGAAAAGCCUCUUUUUCCAUGCUUGUUUUUCCUCCCCAAGGAGCCAACAGAGUUUCUAUUCUCCAACUCUGCUCUUCACCUUACCCAAGUCAUUGCAGUCACCUGGAGUCACGGAAAUGACCAUGAUUGCCUGAACUUUCAUGACUUCUGUGGAUAACUGUGGUUGCAGAAAAGAGAAAACCUGGACCGUGAGGGACAUUUCACUCCCUGGGCUUUGCCUUGGUUGUUUACUUGUAUCUAAGACAGAGGUGUCCAAUAUUUUGGCUUCCCUGGGCCACAAUGGAAGAAGAAUAGUCUUGGGCCACACAUAAAAUACACUAAUGCUAACAAUAGCUGAUGAGCUAAAAAAUAAAAAUAAAAAUACGCCGGGCACGGUGGCCCACACCUGGAAUCCCAGCACUUUGGGACGACGAGGCAGGCGGAUCACAA
rnacentral:lncRNA from 1 species